CCUACGGGUGGCAGCAGUGGGGAAUAUUGGACAAUGGGCGAAAGCCUGAUCCAGCCAUGCCGCGUGUGUGAAGAAGGCCUUCGGGUUGUAAAGCACUUUCAGUGGGGAAGAAAGCCUUGGGGCUAAUACCCUCGAGGAAGGACAUCACCCACAGAAGAAGCACCGGCUAACUCCGUGCCAGCAGCCGCGGUAAUACGGAGGGUGCGAGCGUUAAUCGGAAUUACUGGGCGUAAAGCGCGCGUAGGCGGUCUGAUAAGCCGGUUGUGAAAGCCCCGGGCGCAACCUGGGAACGGCAUCCGGAACCGUCAGGCUAGAGUGCAGGAGAGGAAGGUAGAAUUCCCGGUGUAGCGGUGAAAUGCGUAGAGAUCGGGAGGAAUACCAGUGGCGAAGGCGGCCUUCUGGACUGACACUGACGCUGAGGUGCGAAAGCGUGGGUAGCAAACAGGAUUAGAUACCCUAGUAGUC
rnacentral:rRNA from 1 species